AGGAGACGCUCGAUGUGUCUUGGGGACUGUACGCAACCAGGCUCCGAAUGGGCAUUUGUGUACCGGAUCAAUGUUCACCGCCCGAGAUCGCCAGGAUGCUCCAGGCAGUGUCUGCAAAGUUUCUCCUUAGUACCACUCUACUCAGCUGUGAAGUUCGAGAGGUUGCGACGUUGAACAACUCGCAAAUUGCGUCAAUAGUUAUUCUUGCUUUGUUCGUCAUAACUGUUUUGACAGCGACUUUCUGUGACAUCGCAUUGAGCCGCACAAAGGAUCAG